GUCACUGGUUUCCGGGGAGGAAGGGGGAGGGGAUGGAUGAGUGCAAGAACAAAGACACCGCCCUGUGCCUGCACCUGCGCCACCCAGCAGCUUCCAGGCUUCCGCCCCCACCCUUUGUGGCCCUGUACCCCCUUUGGCCAGAGGAGACGCAGGCCUGAGAUUACUGUGCCGCUGUGCAGGGAGUAGAGUACCUGCCCUACCCAGAUACAGACCAACCACAUGGGAUGCUAUUGACAUGGGAAGAAGGAUUUCAAGUUCCUUAGACCAGAGGAAAGAGAGAGCGUGAGUGAAGGAGGGGAAGAGAGAGAUGGAGACACAGAAUCUGAAGCAGGCUCCAGUCUCCAGGCUGUCAGCACAGAGCCUCACGUGGGGCUCGAACUCACAAGCUGUGAGAUCAUGACCCGGGAUCAUAUUUCUUUCAACAAGGAUUCAUUGAGUGCCGGCUAGCACCAGGUGCUAUACUUAGCUAUAGGGAUAAAAUGAUAAAGAAAAGAAAUAUGGCCCCUGCUCUCCUGCAAUUAACAGUCUAGCAGUAUUUUCUUUUUAUAAGCAAUUUUCAUAGAAUAAUUGACUUUUAAUUAACUGAUUUUAAUAAACAAAUGGAUUUUUUCCAAUUUUAUUAAGAUAUAAUUGACAUGUGAUAGUGGUUUUGAUCAGGGAAACAAAGGCAAGAAAAAUGUAGUUCAAAUUUCCUUACAGCUUGCAAGCCCACUGAUAGAUACCUGAAAUAUGCAGAGCGUGACCUUCCUCAAAGAACUCGUAGCUGCCUUAAUGCCUUAAAGUCUAUAUUUUAUUAAACGCUAAAAGUGACCUUACUUAACAGCAACUAGCCCCUCAAGGUCCUGAAAGCCUUGCUUCAAAAUUCCUUAGAAACUUACUUUACCUCUAUGCCCCUUCCCUCCACAAACUUAAAAGUAUAUAAUCAAGUCACUCCUUAACAAUCCCAGUACAGUUCUUUCUGCACCAUCCCCAUGCUAUAAUAAAAUCACCUUUUUGCACCAAAAAUGUCUCAAGAAUUUUUUUCUUAGCUGUUCUCUCAUGAACCCCACUUCAAAUUUCAUCAGUUUGAAGAAAGCACAAUAGUUGCACUAAUGAAUAAAUUAGAAGUUAAGGGUUCUGGGGGCGCCUGGGUGGCUCAGUCGGUUGGGCGUCCGACUUCAGCUCAGGUCACG